AUGGAGAGUUUGAUCCUGGCUCAGAGUGAACGCUGGCGGCGUGCCUAAUACAUGCAAGUCGNACGGACAAGUAAGAGCUUGCUCUUAUGAGUUAGUGGCGCACGGGUGAGUAAUGUAUAGUUAAUCUGCCCUACACUGGAGGACAACAGUUAGAAAUGACUGCUAAUACUCCAUACUCCUUCUUAGCACAAGUUAAGUUGGGAAAGUNNUUUCGGUGUAGGAUGAGACUNUAUUGUAUCAGCUAGUUGGUAAGGUAAUGGCUUACCAAGGCUAUGACGCAUAACUGGUCUGAGAGGAUGAUCAGUCACACUGGAACUGAGACACGGUCCAGACUCCUACGGGAGGCAGCAGUAGGGAAUAUUGCUCAAUGGGCGAAAGCCUNAAGCAGCAACGCCGCGUGGAGGAUGACACUNUUCGGAGCGUAAACUCCNNUUCUUAGGGAAGAACAAUGACGGUACCUAAGGAAUAAGCACCGGCUAACUCCGUGCCAGCAGCNGCGGUAAUACGGANGGUGCNAGCGUUACUCGGAAUCACUGGGCGUNAAGGACGCGUAGGCGGAUUAUCAAGUCUNUUGUGAAAUCUAAUGGCUUAACCAUUNAACUGCUUGAGAAACUGAUAAUCUAGAGUGAGGGAGAGGCAGAUGGAACUGGUGGUGUAGGGGUAAAAUCCGUAGAGAUCACCAAGAAUACCCAUUGCGAAGGCGAUCUGCUAGAACUCAACUGACGCUAAUGCGUGAAAGCGUGGGGAGCAAACAGGAUUAGAUACCCUGGUAGUCCACGCCCUNAACGAUGCAUACUCGUUGUUGCUCUGCUAGUCAGGGCAGUAAUUCAGCUAACGCAUUAAGUAUGCCGCCUGGGGAGUACGGUCGCAAGAUUAAAACUCAAAGGAAUAGACGGGGACCCGCACAAGCGGUGGAGCAUGUGGUUUAAUUCGANNNUACGCGAAGAACCUUACCUGGGCUUGAUAUCCUAAGAACCUCUUAGAGAUAAGAGGGUGCUAGCUUGCUAGAACUUAGAGACAGGUGCUGCACGGCUGUCGUCAGCUCGUGUCGUGAGAUGUUCGGUUAAGUCCGGCAACGAGCGCAACCCACGUAUUUAGUUGCUAACAGUUUGGCUGAGCACUCUAAAUAUACUGCCUUCGUGAGGAGGAGGAAGGUGUGGACGAUGUCAAGUCAUCAUGGCCCUUAUGCCCAGGGCGACACACGUGCUACAAUGGCAUAUACAAUAAGACGCAAUAUCGCGAGAUGGAGCAAAUCUAUAAAAUAUGUCCCAGUUCGGAUUGUUCUCUGCAACUCGAGAGCAUGAAGCCGGAAUCGCUAGUAAUCGUAGAUCAGCCAUGCUACGGUGAAUACGUUCCCGGGUCUUGUACUCACCGCCCGUCACACCAUGGGAGUUGAUUUCACUCGAAGCCCAAAUACCAAACUGGUUAUGGUCCACAGUGGAAUCAGCGACUGGGG
rnacentral:rRNA from 1 species